rnacentral:rRNA from 1 species
CCUACGGGAGGCAGCAGUGAGGAAUAUUGGUCAAUGGACGAGAGUCUGAACCAGCCAAGUAGCGUGAAGGAUGACUGCCCUAUGGGUUGUAAACUUCUUUUAUAGGGAAAUAAAAUGUUCCACGUGUGGGAUUUUGUAUGUACCAUAUGAGUAAGGAUCGGCUAACUCCGUGCCAGCAGCCGCGGUAAUACGGAGGAUACGAGCGUUAUCCGGAUUGAUUGGGUUUAACGGGAGCGUAGGGGGAUUGUUAAGUCAGUGGUGAAAGUUUGCGGCUCAACCUGAAAAUUGCAGUUGAAACUGGCAGUCUUGAGUACAGUAGAGGUGGGCGGAAUUCGUGGUGUAGCGGUGAAAUGCUUAGAUAUCACGAAGAACUCCGAUUGCGAAGGCAGCUCACUGGACUGCAACUGACACUGAGGCUCGAAAGUGUGGGUAUCAAACAGGAUUAGAUACCCCAGUAGUC